UACAAAUUCAGUAUGGGCAUCGCUUG
rnacentral:piRNA from 1 species